rnacentral:rRNA from 1 species
UACGUAGGUGGCAAGCGUUGUCCGGAUUUACUGGGCGUAAAGAGCGCGCAGGCGGUCGUUCAAGUCGCGUGUGAAAGCCCCCGGCUCAACUGGGGAGGGUCACGCGAUACUGAUCGACUCGAAGGCAGGAGAGGGAAGUGGAAUUCCCGGUGUAGUGGUGAAAUGCGCAGAUAUCAGGAGGAACACCGAUGGCGAAGGCAGGUCUCUGGGCAUUAACUGACGCUGAGGAGCGGAAGCAUGGGGAGCGAACAGG